UAUAAACGUUAAACUUUGUUUCCCUAUUGGUUUGAUCAUCAAAAUGAUGGCAUCUUAGUAUAAGCUCUAUCUGAUCCAUU
rfam:Arabis alpina cultivar Pajares chromosome 5, whole genome shotgun sequence.